UAGCCGUCAACUUCACAGGUGAGACCUUUUGUCAAACACCUUGUUUGCUUCAAUAAUAAUCAUAUCAUAUUAAUUCAAAAUUGCUUAUUUCAAUUUCCCUCACUGCGGUUACACCUCUCUCUCCGCCUCAGAAGAGCUAUUUGGAUUAUUUGACAUUGAAAUUGGCUUCACUUUGAGAUAUCAAGUUGCAAUUUGUACACUCUAGUUUUGUUGAUUAGCUAUUGUGAAGUUGAUGUAAUCUGUUACAAUUAAGUUCUUUUCUUCGUUCUUACAAUAAACCUUUCACCCUUUAUACCAAAGCCUUCAUUUUUUUAGGUUCCAGAGGCAGCAAGUGUUUAGGAUUGGAACACCACAUCAUUCAAAAUCUUGAGGCAUUGAAUAUGUGUUACAUCUCUUAAAUAUUCAACUUCAUACAAAUUUAUAGUCCAUGUCUCUUAACAUAUUCUCUCACGUCAAAGAUUGAACAUCUAUAGCGUUAAAAUAAAUGGUGGACGAACCAACGAAGGAUCUUGAACGAGGCUCUUGAUACCAUAAUCCGACAACACGAUUAGUUAGGGAUUUCAAUAUUCCUUCAUUCUUCACAAUAAUAUUCGAUCAUUUGAUGUCUCGAUACAUCACACCAUGCGAGUGAAAGUAUUCAAGAGCAGAAAACAAUUGCUUCAUUUAGCAUUAAAUUUAUGGUUGACUGGACUUGAUAUCAAGAUUGUCAAAGAGCCCUGCAAUGUCAUGUUUCAUGUACUUAAACACAAGGUAUAAGUAGUAAUUAACUCUGAAAGCUUCGUGAUAUUGGGAUGAUCAAGGUUUCUCAGAAUCAUUAUCUAAUCUUUAGAUGAUCUCGGUCUAAAUUGUUAAACCUCACCUUCUUCAGUGUCACUAUCUUCCUAGACUCAAUAUCCCUCUUUUUAAAUACAUUGUUAUAUGUACUCUUUCCAAUCAUCUCUCUCAAAGAUCACAAACCAUAUUCUGGAGAUCUCUGAGAGAGAUGAUUGGACACGGUACAUGUGAUAAUGUAUUUAAAACGAGGACAUUGAGACAUGGAAGAUAGUAUCACUAAAGAAGGUGAGGUUUAACAAUAUAGACUCGGACAAAGUAAAGUUGUGGCAAUGGAGAUAGUGAUUAUGAGAAAGCUUAAUCAUCCUAAUAUCAUGAAGCUUCAGGAGUAUAUGGAGCAUGAUAUUGCAGAGCUCUUGAGCAAUCUUGAUAUCAAGUCCAAUCAACCACAAAUUAAGUGAUAUAUGAAGCAAUAGUUUUGCUCCCUUGAAUACUUUCACUCGUGUGGUGUCAUGAGACAUGAAAUGAUCAAAUCUUAUGAACAAUGGACAUACCAAGAAUAUGUUUUGACGGUCCCAAAUCUUUCAUAGCAGAAUGCUUCUUCA